rnacentral:rRNA from 1 species
AGAGUUUUAUGAUGGCUCGUGAUGAUCGAACGCUGGCGUGCUACACACAUGCAAGUAGUAGGAAGCACUUUAUUUUAUUCAUUCGCGAUUGAUUUAUUUUGUUUGAGUGGCGGACGGGUGAGUAACGCGUGGGUAACCUGCCUUGUACAGGGGGAUAACAGUCGGAAAAUGGCUGCUAAUACCGCAUAAGCGCACAGCAUCGCAUGAUUCAGUGUGAAAAACUCCGGUGGUAUAAGAUGGACCCGCGUUGGAUUAGCUAGUUGGCGAGGAACGGCCCACCAAGGCGACGAUCCAUAGCCGACCUGAGAGGGUGACCGGCCACAUUGGGACUGAGACACGGCCCAAACUCCUACGGGAGGCAGCAGUGGGGAAUAUUGCACAAUGGGGGAAAGCCUGAUGCAGCGACGCCGCGUGAGCGAAGAAGUAUUUCGGUAUGUAAAGCUCUAUCAGCAGGGAAGAUAAUGACGGUACCUGACUAAGAAGCCCCGGCUAAAUACGUGCCAGCAGCCGCGGUAAUACGUAUGGUGCAAGCGUUAUCCGGAUUUACUGGGUGUAAAGGGAGCGUAGACGGCACGGCAAGUCUGAUGUGAAAGCCCGGGGCUCAACCCCGGUACUGCAUUGGAAACUGUUGUACUAGAGUGUCGGAGGGGUAAGCGGAAUUCCUAGUGUAGCGGUGAAAUGCGUAGAUAUUAGGAGGAACACCAGUGGCGAAGGCGGCUUACUGGACGAUAACUGACGUUGAGGCUCGAAAGCGUGGGGAGCAAACAGGAUUAGAUACCCUGGUAGUCCACGCCGUAAACGA